CCGUGCUAGAUGGGGAGGUAGCGGUGCCCUGUAACCUGCAAUCCGCUAUAGCAGGAUUGAAUUCCUGACCUGAGGGAGUCGACUUUCAGGGUCUGGCCUCAGUAAGUGGUGUUGAGAUUUGGGUCCUUCGCAAUGAGAAGUUCUGAAUCGUGUCAGGUCCGGAAGGAAGCAGCACUAAGGGGCCACUCUCAUGUGUCGAGGGGGAGCCUGAAUGGAGCUAACUGCUGUGGUAACGCCUGGAAGAAGCUUUCGAAGGUAGGUGCACGG
rnacentral:SRP_RNA from 1 species